UGAGGGGGAAAAUUAAUUAGUUAUAAAAAUAAUAAAAAAAUUUUUAAGUAAAAUAUUUUAAUAGGGGGUUAAAGUAUAUUUAUAGAAAAAAUUAAAUAAAUUAUAGUAAAAUAGUAUUGUAAAAGAAAUUUGAAAUAAAUGAAAUAAAAAACAAAUUUAAAGUAAUUUUAAUUUGAUGUAUCUUGGGUAUCAGAGUUUAUUAAAAUAAAUUUUUAAAUAAAAAAUUCUCGAAUUUAAAAGAGAUAAUUAAUUAAUAAAGUUAUUGUAGCAUAAAUAUUUAAAAUAAUUAAUUUGAAAUGAAAUGUUAAUCGUUUUUAAAUAUAUCUAGUUAUUUUAGAAAAAAAUUUAAUUUUAUAUUAUUUUAUAAGAAAUUUAAUUAAUUAAAUUUCUUAUAAAAUAAUAUUAUAUUUUAAGGGAUAAGCUUUAAUUUAAAUUUAUAUAAAUAUUAAUUAAAUUUAAAUUGAAUUUUAUAUAAUUUAUAUUGUUAAAAAAUUUUAGUUUAUUAUAAAUAAUUUCAUUAAAAAUAAAAUUUAAUAUAAUUUUAUAUUAUUUAUAAAAUAAAAUUUUUUAAUAAAAAAAAAAUUGAUAUAAUGAUAAAAUUAGUAUAUAAAUUAAAUUAAAAUAUUAUUUUUAAUAAAAUUAAUUAAAAGGAAUUCGGCAAAAAUUUAUAUUCACUUGUUUAUCAAAAACAUGUCUUUUUGAAAUUAAUAUAAAGUCUAAUCUGCCCACUGAUUUUUAAAAUUAAAGGGCUGCAGUAUAUUGACUGUACAAAGGUAGCAUAAUCAUUAGUCAUUUAAUUGAUGACUUGUAUGAAAGAUUGGAUGAAAUAUAAACUGUCUCUUAAUUAAAUAUAGAAUUUAAUUUUUUAAUUAAAAAGUUAAAAUAAAUUAAAAAGACGAGAAGACCCUAUAGAGUUUUAUAAAUAAUUUAGUUAAAAUUAUUUGUAUAAUUAUAAAUUGAAAUUAAUUUAUUUAUUUUGUUGGGGUGACAAAAAAAUAAGUAAAACUUUUUUUUUAAAAAAACAUAUAUAAGUGAAUAAAUGAUCCAAUAUUAUUGAUUAAAAGAAAAAAUUACCUUAGGGAUAACAGCGUAAUUUUUUUUUUUAGUUCAAAUAAGAAGAAAAGUUUGCGACCUCGAUGUUGGAUUAAGAUAAAAUUUAAAUGCAGAAGUUUAAAAUUUUUGAUCUGUUCGAUCAUUAAAAUCUUACAUGAUCUGAGUUCAAACCGGUGUAAGCCAGGUUGGUUUCUAUCUUUUAAAAAUUAUAAUAUUUUAGUACGAAAGGAUUAAAUAUUAAAAUUAAAUUUAUUUUAUUGAAUUUUAUUAAAUUAAU
rnacentral:rRNA from 1 species